GUUCUGAAUGACUGAAUCUACUGAUGAUAGCGUGUGAUGCAGCUAUAGUGCGUAGGGUUUCGAUGCUUAUGACCACGACAGUACAGGAACACAAACACACGAGUUCUGUUCAGCGUGCUAGUUGAGUUAGCAGUUUCAUAAUAUCAUUUUAGAGCAACUCCAACUCUUAGAGCGAUAAUUGUCCAAGCUAUUAGGCAAUUGGCAAUUAUUGCUUUAGAUCAGUUCCACCCUUAAAAAAAUACGCUAGCAUCAAUGAACAGUGAUAUAUCACAAUGAACAGUGUUA
rnacentral:lncRNA from 1 species